CCUACGGGUGGCAGCAGUGAGGAAUAUUGGUCAAUGGGCUUACGCCUGAACCAGCCAAGUCGCGUGAGGGAAGACUGCCCUAUGGGUUGUAAACCUCUUUUGUCAGGGAGCAACGCCGGCUACGUGUAGCCGUACUGAGAGUACCUGAAGAAAAAGCAUCGGCUAACUCCGUGCCAGCAGCCGCGGUAAUACGGAGGAUGCGAGCGUUAUCCGGAUUUAUUGGGUUUAAAGGGUGCGUAGGCGGAAUGCCAAGUCAGCGGUAAAAUCGCGGGGGUCAACCUCGCUCCGCCGUUGAUACUGGCGUUCUAGAGUGAGCGAGAGGUAUGCGGAAUGCGUGGUGUAGCGGUGAAAUGCAUAGAGAUCACGCAGAACUCCGAUUGCGAAGGCAGCAUACCGGAGCACAACUGACGCUGAAGCGCGAAAGCGUGGGUAUCGAACAGGAUUAGAUACCCGGGUAGUC
rnacentral:rRNA from 1 species